AAAAGACACACCACUCUUCCACCACUUCCACCCGAUGCCCAACCUCCCCCGAUCUCGCUGCCGCCCCCCGCUUCCCCUGCCUUCCGGCGCCGCCGCCCCCCGCUUACCCUGCCACACGGCGCCGCCGCCCCCCGCUUCCCCUGCAUCCAGGCGCUGCCGCCCUCCCGCUUCCCCUGCCCCGAGGCGCCGCUGACCCAACCUCCCGCGUGCCACCUGACUUCCUUCCCCCGCCGCCCCUUGCUCCGGUGGGCCUCCCACCGCUACCAACCGGCGUCGGAACCGUCCCUCGCCCUGGAUCGCACCGCCGUCACUGCCCACGAUGGGGAUCGCGCCACAGGCACCGUCCCACGAUGGGGAUCGAGCCGCAGGCACCGUCCCAUGAUGGGGAUCGCGCCACUGCAACCGCAUCGCCCCACCUCCCGUCGUCGGGAUCCUGCUGCCGCGCGACAACCACCGGGAUCCUCCCACCGUGCGACCUUCCUUCACCUGCCACCGUGAACUUCUUCCACCCUCCACCGUGACCUUCUUCCCUCCCCCGCCUCGAUCCUGACAUGGCUCCAUGUUUCGUUGAUGUUGUAGGCGGUCGCUACUCACGCCGCGCGCGUGUGGCGGUGGACGGACGCGAUGGUUUCCUUUGACAUGAACGACCGCAAAGAGUGGCUCGUCGGAUGCUGUUGCCGUGGAUGACGAUGAUCUCGUUCUCGAUAGGAGAAUGAAGAGACACAGGAGAGGGGACGAGGAUCAUGUGCUCACCGUGCAACACAGCGUCACCUCUUCGCUCCGGAGCGUCGGGAUUCUUGCUAGAGAGCAUUCAGUGUCGGAUUUCCUAAUGUGUAUUGUCCUUCUUUCAUUUGUGGUCCACUGUUUGCUGUUGUUGGUUUACAGGUUUGGAAGGCAGCCAUGCUGCUAACCUGACUUUGUGUUGCACAAGAGCUUCACGUCGUCUGAAUUCGACGGUGUUACUGCCAUGGAGAUCGGUGUUGGGACAGGUGAUGGCUUGUUAUGAAAUUUAGUGAAUGAGAAAAUUGUGUUGUGCUUGUA